GCUAGAGAGGCUGGCGUUUGACGUGUGACAACUUUAUUUAUAAAUGUAAUGAUGUGUUCAUAAUGCGGUCAAAUGAAGCAGACCCGAUAAUUAGAGUCGAAACAUUAGGUGCAAUGUUUCAACAAAAACUGCAUGUGGAUUUUACCCACUGGGGUCUAGAUUUUAUUUUUUAUAUACAUUGAUAUGAAAUUAUGUUUCAUCUGUAAACCACUUGACAUACAGAAUCCCACGGAGUUACAUAAUUUAUUACUGAAAUGACACAGAAAAAUGCACAAAUCUUUCGUUGUCCACGAGAAGAAAAUCUUGAACCACGUGGUAAUAAGAAUUCAUUUUUUGGCAACCGUCUCACAGGUGAUGUAAGCUAGUCGGGUCUCUUGGAAAGAAUGCCUGCCUGCUGAAUUGGAAUGUGCUUCCAUUUUCCACGUCCUCUGCCGUCUAAUCGAGUAAUUUUAUGUCGAUUCACGAGACUUCACGUCAUACCCAAUUUCUCGACGGCGUUGACUUGUUCUGAAGUUUCUAAUGCCUACCUCUGUUUCCGAACCAAGGACACGCGCUAAUACGACUGAACAAGCUCAUGUCUCCACCACGAGGACGAAAUGCAGACUGAGAACCGUACAGCAGUGACGAAAUACAAGAACAGGUGGAAGAAUCCAUUUCAUUUCGAGGGGUGACGCGACACAGUUUCAAGGACGAAUUUUACGAAAACCGACCGAGAAUCGAGUCUGGAAGCCCUUAAUACGACGCGCAGUUGCUAACCACUGCACCAGAACGUGCGAUAAGAAAAUGCUGAAACCUCCACGGUGUGGCCCUUGUUCAUGAAAGUUGUACAUCAGAUGGAAGAGAUUUAUUAUCAGGUCGCACCAUCAGUAGGCGAAGCGUGUACCGACUUGAUGGAUGAAGGUGACGUCACAUCAGUACGGGAAAUAGAAGACAAGAAAAAUGAAGGGAGAGUAGCCGAGAAAGGAAAAAAAAAGGUUAAGGUGUUACGCGUGAGGACGUGAGCCUACAUAACGCCAUUUUUUAAACAAUAUCAACAUGAAGAUGGCUGUCUUGUACGUUGUUACGCUUUGUAGUCUUGUGAGUAACGACCGACGUUGUAGAGGUGCUUCCUGCCUCCAUCAUUAGUACCUCUGAAACGUCGGUAAAAUUCUACCAACUACACGGCUCGAACACCUAGAAGACAGCCAUCUUUAUAUUCGCCGCCGAGAGAAAAUAAUAUCUCACUCAAUAUGAAUGCGUUGCUUACAAGGUGGAAUGUCUGAACAUGUAUUACAGGGGCCAAGAAUUCCAUUCGACAACCUUUUCUCUGAAGACUAUCGUUGUUGAUUCGUAGGCUGCAGUGGCGAAGGAAACUGUACAGAUGUCCCAAAAAGAUACAUCGCUGCAUUCAAUGAAUGAAAUAAAGACAUUUUAAUAAUGUAAUAAUAGGUGUGAAAUUUAUUAACAGGGACGACCAUCAGCUUAUCUAGAAGAACUCUACUCCGCACGAGACAGCGUGAUUCCAUAAGACUGCCCAGGAAGAUGAUCAGUUACCAUAACCAAUCAAAAAUAGUUGAUUACGGAAAUAAGUAGGCGGGCGAAACGAAAUAUAAAAAGAAUUAGAAACAACCAAGAAAGAGAAGAAGACGCAUGGUACCACGCCCGAGACACCACGAGCCCGCAAAGGGUCGCGCUGGGAUCCGACACCACCUUUGGAAAGAUGCCACACUUCUCACUGCAGGUGGGGCGGCUGGAGACCUGCCAGCCGAAGCUACAGCCCUCACAAUGCUUAAUUCAUAAUUCUCACCAACUGCAAAAUAAAAAUGUUUUGUUCUGCCAUUUUGA